AACGAACGCUGGCGGCAUGCCUAACACAUGCAAGUCGAACGAAGGCUUCGGCCUUAGUGGCGCACGGGUUCGUAACGCGUGGGAAUCUGCCCUUUGCUUCGGAAUAACAGUUAGAAAUGACUGCUAAUACCGGAUGAGGUCGCAAGACCAAAGAUUUAUCGGCAAAGGAUGAGCCCGCGUAGGAUUAGCUAGUUGGUGGGGUAAAGGCCUACCAAGGCGACGAUCCUUAGCUGGUCUGAGAGGAUGAUCAGCCACACUGGGACUGAGACACGGCCCAGACUCCUACGGGAGGCAGCAGUGGGGAAUAUUGGACAAUGGGCGAAAGCCUGAUCCAGCAAUGCCGCGUGAGUGAUGAAGGCCUUAGGGUUGUAAAGCUCUUUUACCCGGGAUGAUAAUGACAGUACCGGGAGAAUAAGCUCCGGCUAACUCCGUG
rnacentral:rRNA from 1 species